CUUCUUCGGCCUGUUGCGGCGCAAUGAAGUGAAUAUGGGUGUCGAUACCGCCAGCGGUGAGAAUCUUGCCUUCGCCUGCAAUGACGUCGGUCGCCGGUCCGACGAUAAUGUCGACGCCGGGCUGAAUAUCGGGAUUACCGGCCUUGCCGAUCCCUGAGAUACGACCUUCCUUGAUGCCGACAUCGGCUUUGAUGAUGCCCCAAUAGUCAAGAAUGAUGACAUUGGUGAUGACCAGAUCGGCGGUUUCGGACGAGGGUCGUUGCCCCUGCCCCAUACCGUCGCGAAUG
rfam:Elaeophora elaphi genomic scaffold, EEL_scaffold_00001_1479205